AGAAUGAACGCUGGCGGCGCGCCUAAUACAUGCAAGUCGAGCGAGAAGACGUAGCAAUACGUUUGUAAAGCGGCGAACGGGUGAGGAAUACAUGGGUAACCUACCCUCGAGUGGGGAAUAACUAGCCGAAAGGUUAGCUAAUACCGCGUACGCUUCUUGGACUUCGGUUCAGGGAGGAAAGCGAUACCAAGGGUAUCGCGCUCUUGGAUGGGCUCAUGUCCUAUCAGCUUGUUGGUGAGGUAACGGCUCACCAAGGCUUCGACGGGUAGCUGGUCUGAGAGGACGAUCAGCCACACUGGCACUGCGACACGGGCCAGACUCCUACGGGAGGCAGCAGUAAGGAAUAUUGCGCAAGUGGGACGAAAGCCUGACGCAGCGACGCCGCGUGGGGAUGAGUCUUCGGAUUCGUAAACCCGUUUCGGAGGAAGAGUAGGAAGUGGGUAACCCUAGUUUAGGACGGUACCGUACCGAGAAGCAGCCGACG
rnacentral:rRNA from 1 species